UGGAUGAUGUGGAUAAUUCGAUGCAACGCGAAGAACCUUACUACCCUUGACAUGUCCGGAACUUGCCAGAGAUGGCUUGGUGCCCGAAAGGGAAUCGGAACACAGGUGCUGCAUGGCUGUCGUCAGCUCGUGUCGUGAGAUGUUGGGUUAAGUCCCGCAACGAGCGCAACCCUUAUCAUUAGUUGCUACGCAAGGGCACUCUAAUGAGACUGCCGGUGACAAACCGGAGGAAGGUGGGGAUGACGUCAAGUCCUCAUGGCCCUUAUGGGUAGGGCUUCACACGUCAUACAAUGGUCGGUACAGAGGGUUGCCAAGCCGCGAGGCGGAGCCAAUCCCACAAAGCCGAUCGUAGUCCGGAUUGUUCUCUGCAACUCGAGAGCAUGAAGUCGGAAUCGCUAGUAAUCGCAGGUCAGCAUACUGCGGUGAAUACGUUCCCGGGUCUU
rnacentral:rRNA from 1 species